rnacentral:rRNA from 1 species
UAGGGAAUCUUCGGCAAUGGGGGCAACCCUGACCGAGCAACGCCGCGUGAGUGAAGAAGGUUUUCGGAUCGUAACGCUCUGUUGUAAGAGAAGAACGUGUGUGAGAGUGUAAAGUUCACACAGUGACGGUAACUUACCAGAAAGGGACGGCUAACUACGUGCCAGCAGCCGCGGUAAUACGUAGGUCCCGAGCGUUGUCCGGAUUUAUUGGGCGUAAGGCGAGAGCAGGCGGUUUAAUAAGUCUGAAGUUAAAGGAAGUGGCUUAACCAUUGGUCGCUUUGGAAACUGUUAAGCUUGGGUGCAGAAGGGGGGAGUGGAAAUCCAUGUGUAGCGGUGAAAUUCAUAAAUAUAUGGAGGAACACAGAUGGCGAAAGCGGCUCGCUGGUCUGUAACUAACGCUGAGGCUCGAAAGCGUGGGGAGCAAGCAGG